rnacentral:rRNA from 1 species
UGAAAUUAAGCAUAUCAAUAAGCGGAGGAAAAGAAACCAACAGGGAUUGCCUCAGUAACGGCGAGUGAAGCGGCAACAGCUCAAAUUUGAAAUCUGGCCUCGGCCCGAGUUGUAAUUUGCAGAGGAUGCUUCUGGCAACGUGCCUUCCGAGUCCCCUGGAACGGGGCGCCGGAGAGGGUGAGAGCCCCGUACGGUUGGACGCCGCGCCUGUGUGAAGCUCCUUCGACGAGUCGAGUAGUUUGGGAAUGCUGCUCUAAGCGGGAGGUAAAUUCCUUCUAAAGCUAAAUACCGGCCAGAGACCGAUAGCGCACAAGUAGAGUGAUCGAAAGAUGAAAAGCACUUUGGAAAGAGGGUUAAAAAGUACGUGAAAUUGCUGAAAGGGAAGCGCCUGCGACCAGACUCGCGCCGGGCGAAUCAUCCAGCGUUCUCGCUGGUGCACUUCGCCCGGUCCGGGCCAGCAUCGGUUCUGACGGGGGGACAAAAGCCCGGGAAAUGUAGCUCCCUCCGGGGAGUGUUAUAGUCCCUCGCCUAAUACCCCCGCCGGGACCGAGGACCGCGCUUUACGCAAGGAUGCUGGCAUAAUGGUCGUCGGCGACCCGUCUUGAAACACGGACCAAGGAGUCGAACAUUUGUGCGAGUGUUUGGGUGGAAAACCCUCACGCGCAAUGAAAGUGAACUUUGGUGGGAGCCUCGGCGCACCACCGACCGAUCCUGAAGUUUUCGGAUGGAUUUGAGUAGGAGCAUAACUGUUCGGACCCGAAAGAUGGUGAACUAUGCCUGUGUAGGGUGAAGCCAGAGGAAACUCUGGUGGAGGCUCGCAGCGGUUCUGACGUGCAAAUCGAUCGUCAACAUGGGCAUGGGGGGCGAAAGACUAAUCGAACCAUCUAGUAUCUGGU